AUGAACUGGACCUUCUGUUCCCUCACUCACACUGGGCCCAGUCGGAACCACGCAGUCUUUCUCUCCUCUUCUUCCUCUCCCUCCUUGUAUCCAUCUGAUUCUCUCUCAUUCUCACACAGACUUCAUGUCUCAUCUGUCAUCCAUCCAGAUCCAGCAGUCAUUCUCUCCUCUUCUCCAUCCAUCCUUUUCUCUUUAUAGUAUUAUGUGACAUAUUCAGCUGCUCAUCUUCUAUAUGACUGUUCCUUUCGUUUUCUCCUCCAUUAUCUCUUUAUUCGUUGAGUUUCUUUUUAGUUUCCCCUUACACUUGUACACACACACACACACCUUACACCUUACACUCACACACACCAAACCCCAUCAGCAUUCAACAUAUCAUUGCUCUGCGUCACUAAAGGUCAAUAUGUUCCUCUCAAAGUGGUGACUAAGUCAAGCCUCAUCACUUACUUCUUUCACACAUACAUUCUCUCAUCCCUUCCCUUCCCUCCCCUGCUCUCUUUCUCUCCAACACUCUCUCCAUCAUCACAAGCACCCUCCUUCUACUCUCUGACUCUCUCUGCUGCAGUGUGGAAAUUUCCAAGCAGAGCCCUGCAGUGUCUGGGCAGGGAACGAGGGAGGGAGGGAGAGGAGGAGAGUGAGAGAGAGUGGGUGAAGGAUGAGGCUGCUACCUAACACAGAGCAUGGCUAACCUAUGCUUCUCUAGUGAAGGACGUAGUCACCCAGCCAAUGUCUCAGCUUCUCUAGCACACAGUGGAAAAAUACAGACACAGAGAGAAAGAGAAAGGGUACAGAAAGUCACCUUGUAGUAAACACACACACACACACACACACACGCCAGACAUGUCCUCAGAGCUCGAUAACCACAAUUUCUAUAAACAGACAUAAACAGAUAUAGCAUGCGCACACAGUGAAAUGAUACAAUCUGAAUUUAUAACCAGAAAUUAAAAUGGUAGCCUGAACUGAGCCACUAGAACAGGGGGUUCUCAAUCGUGUAAAUACCAAGGUCAAGUAUUCUAGGCUAUCGUUCCCAUUAACGUCCUUUACAUUCUCUGACCCCUUAUAAUGCUUUGAUAAGCCUGUGUAAUAAAAACGUUUCCCUAUACAGAUGUAGGAUCUUAAUUUGAGCCAAUUUGCUACAGCAGGGAAAUAAUCCUGCAAGAACAGUAAAUGUGAAUUAUUAUGUGGAUUAUAUAUAAUUAGACAUUUUUGAAGGGGUUGAUAGAGUUUUUGUUAAGGCAAAUCAAGUCUGCCUUUUCAAAGUGAAAAUUACAAACUUUAGAAGCCUUUUUACAACUAAAAUAUACUACAAGUUUGCUGUGCAGGAAAAUUCUCAGCAACAAAAGAGUGAUUAAAUGAAGAUCCUACAUCUGUAUUGACACACUGAGUGAGGGACUCGUCUCUAGAAAUUCCUGGGAGCCAGAAUAGAAUGGAGAAGAAUUUCUGCCCACAUAACAGGGCUCUCCUCCCAACCCACAGCCACAGCCUCAGUCCCAAGCUCAGCCCCAUGCCUAGCCUUACCCUCAGCCCCAUGCCUAGCCUUACCCUCAGCCCCAGGCUCAGACCCAGCCUUCAGAUCAAUAACAUUACAACAUAGGAGGGUGACUGGCUGGUUUUGCUGUACCCCGUAAGGACAGAGCAGUAGUUGUAUAAGGACGUAUAAGGAAGUGUGUGUGAGGGAGAGAGCUGGGGUUCGAUGGCCUGAGUCAGUAGUGGAGUAGGACACUGCAGAGGCUCCUGUGGCGCAGGACGAGUCUGACACACACUCCCUCCGCUGGAAACGUCACACACUCAUCAUGCACACUCACGCACGCACACACGCAUGCGCACACACAAGCCGUUUGAUGACACUCAAACUCUCAUACAGUUGCCCACACACAGUUUGACAUUAGAAUAUCAUCUACAGAUUUAGGAUCUUAAUACGAUCACUCUUUUGCUGCUGAGAGUUUUCCUGCACAGCAGGAAAUGCAAACUUGUAGUGUAUUCAAUGUUUAAAAAAGGCUUCUAAAGUUUGUAAUAUCCACUGAAAAAAUGUAAACUCCUACAAAAAAAUGUCCAUUCAUUAUAGUCCACAUAGCAAACAGACUUAUAUUAAGAUCAUACAGUACAAUCCCAUAUGCAUUCCCUGGUCUCUUGUUAGGGUCUUGUACAAAAACGGUUGAGCAACACGUGCAAACACCAUUGUGUGUGUGUGUGUGUGUGUGUGGAGCGAGGGAGAAGGAGCGAGGGAGAGAGAAUGAGUGUUAGAGAGAAGGAGUGAGACAGAGAUAGGGUAAGACAAGGGUAAACACUCAUCCUUGACCACACCUGAUCGAUAUUGUGUACCUGUCACUAUCAACACAUUUCUAUUUCCUGCAACAGUCUGGGUGUGUUUGUAUGUGUGUGUAUCUGGGCUCUCUUUCUCCUUGACCUGGGCUAACGCACUCACGUUCCUCUCUCUCUCUCUCUGUAUUUUUGUGUGUGUGUGACUGUCUGUCUUCCUCUGCCCACCAAUGUCUGUUAUGUAAGGGUGACCAUUGAGUCCCCACCAGACCAUAUAGGCUGAGAACUAGUCAAACACAAGGCCUAUUUGAAUAAACUNNNNNNNNNNUGUGUGUGUGUGUGUGUGUGUGGAGCGAGGGAGAAGGAGCGAGGGAGAGAGAAUGAGUGUUAGAGAGAAGGAGUGAGACAGAGAUAGGGUAAGACAAGGGUAAACACUCAUCCUUGACCACACCUGAUCGAUAUUGUGUACCUGUCACUAUCAACACAUUUCUAUUUCCUGCAACAGUCUGGGUGUGUUUGUAUGUGUGUGUAUCUGGGCUCUCUUUCUCCUUGACCUGGGCUAACGCACUCACGUUCCUCUCUCUCUCUCUCUGUAUUUUUGUGUGUGUGUGACUGUCUGUCUUCCUCUGCCCACCAAUGUCUGUUAUGUAAGGGUGACCAUUGAGUCCCCACCAGACCAUAUAGGCUGAGAACUAGUCAAACACAAGGCCUAUUUGAAUAAACUACUCCGUCUCUGCAUACCCUCUAUAGCUUUAGCCUGUCUGACUCUAAAUGGCUGUUGGAUUAUGGCCAGGUUACAUAACUGUGACCUCUUAGGCUUUGCCCGCCACCACCACUACCAUCACAGCUUAAUCCCUCAGAUUAAGAGAGGGAGCGAACAAAAGGAGGACAGAGAGAAAAAUAGAGAUAGAUGUGUAGGGAGAGGUUGUUUGGCUGCCAAGGAGUAGCAGGCAUUUGGCCCAGUCACUCUCUCAGAGAACGCAGACUGGCUGAGAACAAAAGAGGACAGCAGAUUGGGGGCAUGCCAACCACAGAGGAGAGAGAAGGGUUUAGCUUCUUAACAUAUGCACACCUUUCUCAAUGAGUGUUAAACUACAGAGUUUGGCUCAGACAGUGCAACUGUGCAAUGCCAUAACGGUGGUGAUGAGUCAAGUAUUCAACUAACAAGUAGCUUUUGCAACAAAGUGAGAUAAAACGCUCUGCCAUCCUCCACACUGGGCCUCUCCACAUCCCCAUACGUACACUCUGGAGGGACGUAGACAGCACAAGAACUGGAACAGCCCUCUACAGACACAGGGGAAAGGAACUGAGGAACUAUUAAUGAGAAUAGAAAGGAGCAACCCUGAAACUUUGAGAGUCUUGAGAGCCGGAGGGAAGGAGGGAGGGAAGGAAGGAAGGAGGGGGGGGGGACUGUAACCUUCAGUUGGAGUGCUAAAAGCAGCUUGAGUGUUUAAUAGGAGAGAAAGAGAGGCA
rnacentral:lncRNA from 13 species